rnacentral:rRNA from 1 species
AGCUUUAGGUAUAGAUCUAAGGUUAGACCUGCCCAAUGUGUAAUCUAUUAAUGGCCGCGGUACUUUGACCGUGCUAAGGUAGCGUAAUCAAUUGGCUCUUAAUUGGGGUCAGGUAUGAAUGGAGACACGUGGUCUAGCUGUCUCUAAACUAUUUAGUUGAAUUUACUUUAUAGGUGAAAAAGCCUAUAUUAAGAAAAAAGACGAGAAGACCCUUAGAGUUUUACUUACUUAAAAUUUUGUUGUUGAUUAUAUUUUUAAUAGUUUAGUUGGGGCAACAUGGGAGAUGAUCUCCUCCUUAAAUAUUAUAAACCGAUUGUUAUAAAUUUGGAUAAACUACCUUAGGGAUAACAGCAUAAUUUAAUUAAUAAGUUUGUGACCUCGAUGUUGGACUAGGAAAUUUAAAGGCUAGCCGUUUUUAAAUAAAGUUCUGUUCGAACUGUUUCUCCU